rnacentral:rRNA from 1 species
CCUACGGGUGGCAGCAGUGGGGAAUAUUGCACAAUGGGGGAAACCCUGAUGCAGCGACGCCGCGUGAGUGAAGAAGUAAUUCGUUAUGUAAAGCUCUAUCAGCAGGGAAGAAAAUGACGGUACCUGAGUAAGAAGCCCCGGCUAACUACGUGCCAGCAGCCGCGGUAAUACGUAGGGGGCAAGCGUUAUCCGGAUUUACUGGGGGGAAAGGGAGCGUAGACGGCAGUGCAAGUCUGGAGUGAAAGGCGGGGGCUCAACCCCCGGACUGCUCUGGAAACUGUACGGCUGGAGUGCAGGAGAGGUAAGUGGAAUUCCUAGUGUAGCGGUGAAAUGCGUAGAUAGUAGGAGGAACACCAGUGGCGAAGGCGGCUUACUGGACUGUAACUGACGUUGAGGCUCGAAAGCGUGGGGAGCAAACAGGAUUAGAUACCCCUGUAGGC